UACGUAGGGUGCAAGCGUUGUCCGGAAUUAUUGGGCGUAAAGAGCUCGUAGGCGGUUCGUAGCGUCGGCUGUGAAAACCUGAGGCUCAACCUCAGGCCUGCAGUCGAUACGGGCGGACUUGAGUACUGCAGGGGAGACUGGAAUUCCUGGUGUAGCGGUGAAAUGCGCGGAUAUCAGGAGGAACACCGGUGGCGAAGGCGGGUCUCUGGGCAGUAACUGACGCUGAGGAGCGAAAGCGUGGGGAGCGAACAGG
rnacentral:rRNA from 1 species